UACGAAGGGAGCGAGCGUUGUUCGGAAUCACUGGGCUUAAAGCGUGCGUAGGCGGAAAUGUAAGUCAGAAGUGAAAGCCCAGGGCUUAACCCUGGAACUGCUUUUGAGACUGCAAUUCUAGAAUUCGGUAGAGGCUAGUGGAAUGUCCAGUGUAGAGGUGAAAUUCGCAGAUAUUGGACGGAACACCAGUGGCGAAGGCGACUAGCUGGGCCGAUAUUGACGCUGAGGCACGAAAGCGUGGGUAGCAAACAGG
rnacentral:rRNA from 1 species